rnacentral:rRNA from 1 species
AACGAACGCUGGCGGCAGGCUUAACGCAUGCAAGUCGAACGCCCCGCAAGGGGAGUGGCAGACGGGUGAGUAACGCGUGGGAAUCUACCUAGUUCUACGGAACAACAGUUGGAAACGACUGCUAAUACCGUAUACGCCCUAUGGGGGAAAGAUUUAUCGGAAUUAGAUGAGCCCGCGUAAGAUUAGCUAGUUGGUGAGGUAAUGGCUCACCAAGGCGACGAUCUUUAGCUGGUCUGAGAGGAUGAUCAGCCACACUGGGACUGAGACACGGCCCAGACUCCUACGGGAGGCAGCAGUGGGGAAUAUUGGACAAUGGGCGCAAGCCUGAUCCAGCCAUGCCGCGUGAGUGAUGAAGGCCUUAGGGUUGUAAAGCUCUUUCAGUAGGGAAGAUAAUGACGGUACCUACAGAAGAAGCCCCGGCUAACUUCGUGCCAGCCGCCGCCGUAAGAC